AACGAACGCUGGCGGCAUGCCUAACACAUGCAAGUCGAACGAGACCUUCGGGUCUAGUGGCGCACGGGUGCGUAACACGUGGGAAUUUGCCUCGGGGUAUGGAAUAAACUCAGGGAAACUUGAGCUAAUACCAUAUAAUGUCUUCGGACCAAAGAUUUAUCGCCCUGAGAUAAGCCCGCGUAGGAUUAGCUAGUUGGUGGGGUAAAGGCUCACCAAGGCGACGAUCCUUAGCUGGUCUGAGAGGAUGAUCAGCCACACUGGGACUGAGACACGGCCCAGACUCCUACGGGAGGCAGCAGUGGGAAUAUUGGACAAUGGCGAAGCCUGAUCCAGCAAUGCCGCGUGAGUGAUG
rnacentral:rRNA from 1 species